rnacentral:rRNA from 1 species
AUUGAACGCUGGCGGCAGGCCUAACACAUGCAGGUCGAGCGGAUGAAGGGAGCUUGCUCCUGGAUUCAGCGGCGGACGGGCGAGUAAUGCCUAGGAAUCUGCCUGGUAGUGGGGGCUAACGUCCGGACACGGGCGCUAAUACCGCAUACGUCCUGAGGGAGAAAGUGGGGGAUCUUCGGACCUCACGCUAUCAGAUGAGCCUAGGUUGGAUUAGCUAGUUGGUGGGGUAAAGGCCUACCAAGACGACGAUCCGUAACUGGUCUGAGAGGAUGAUCAGCCACACUGGAACUGAGACACGGUCCAGACUCCUACGGGAGGCAGCAGUGGGGAAUAUUGGACAAUGGGCGAAAGCCUGAUCCAGCCAUGCCGCGUGUGUGAAGAAGGUCUUCGGAUUGUAAAGCACUUUAAGUUGGGAGGAAGAGCAGUAAGUUAAUACCUGGCUGUUUUGACGUUACCAACAGAAUAAGCACCGGCUAACUUCGUG